AUGGCGACCGGCGCACGGGUGAGUAACACGUAUCCAACCUGCCGAUAACUCGGGGAUAGCCCUUCGAAAGAAAGAUUAAUACCCGAUGGUAUAAUCAGACCGCAUGGUUUGAUUAUUAAAGAAUUUCGGUUAUCGAUGGGGAUGCGUUCCAUUAGGCAGUUGGUGAGGUAACGGCUCACCAAACCUUCGAUGGAUAGGGGUUCUGAGAGGAAGGUCCUCCACAUUGGAACUGAGACACGGUCCAA
rnacentral:rRNA from 1 species